rnacentral:rRNA from 1 species
GAUUAACGCUGGCGGCGUGCCUAAUACAUGCAAGUCGAGCGAACAGACGAGGAGCUUGCUCCUCUGACGUUAGCGGCGGACGGGUGAGUAACACGUGGAUAACCUACCUAUAAGAAUAGGAUAACUUCGGGAAACCGUAGCUAACACCGGAUAAUAUAUUGAACCGCCUGGUUCUAUUGUUAAAGUCGGUUUUACUGUCACUUAUUGAUGUAUCCGCCCCGCAUUAGCUAGUUGGUAAGGUAACACCAUACCAAGUCAACCAUGCCUACCCCGCCUGAGAGAGUCCUCGCCCCCCCUAGCACUGAGACACCUUCCCGACUCCUACGGGAGGCAGCAGUAGGGUAUCUCCCGCAGUAGUCGGAAGCCUGACCUAGCAGCGCCGCAUAAGUGAUGAACGGCUUAUGUGCGUAGAACUCUGUUAUUAGGGAAGAACAAAUUUGUAAGUAACUAUGCACGUCUUGGCGGUACCUAAUCAGAAAGCCACGGCUAACUACGUG